UACGUAGGGGGCGAGCGUUGUCCGGAAUCAUUGGGCGUAAAGCGCGUGUAGGCGGCCCGAUAAGUCCGCUGUGAAAGUCCAGGGCUCAACCCUGGGAUGCCGGUGGAUACUGUCGGGCUAGAGUGCGGAAGAGGCGAGUGGAAUUCCUGGUGUAGCGGUGAAAUGCGCAGAUAUCAGGAGGAACACCAAUUGCGAAGGCAGCUCGCUGGGACGUAACUGACGCUGAGACGCGAAAGCGUGGGGAGCAAACAGG
rnacentral:rRNA from 1 species